rnacentral:misc_RNA from 1 species
GAUGAAGAACGUAGCGAAAUGCGAUAAGUAGUGUGAAUUGCAGAAUUCAGUGAAUCAUCGAAUCUUUGAACGCACAUUGCGCCCCAUGGUAUUCCGUGGGGCAUGCCUGUUCGAGCGUCAUUUACCCCCUCAAGCUCCGCUUGGUGUUGGGCGUCUGUCCCGCUUCGCGCGCGGACUCGCCCCAAAGGUAUUGGCAGCGGCCGUGCCAGCUUCUCGCGCAGCACAUUGCGCUUCUCGAGGCACCGGUGGGCCCGCGUCCAUCAAGCUCACCCCCCCAGUUUGACCUCGGAUCAGGUAGGGAUACCCGCUGAACUUAAGCAUAUCAAUAAGCGGAGGA